UCCGAAGGGUGCAAGCGUUACUCGGAAUUACUGGGCGUAAAGCGUGCGUAGGUGGUUGUUUAAGUCUGCUGUGAAAGCCCUGGGCUCAACCUGGGAAUUGCAGUGGAUACUGGGCGACUAGAGUGUGGUAGAGGAUAGUGGAAUUUCCGGUGUAGCAGUGAAAUGCGUAGAGAUCGGAAGGAACAUCUGUGGCGAAGGCGACUAUCUGGGCCAACACUGACACUGAGGCACGAAAGCGUGGGGAGCAAACAGG
rnacentral:rRNA from 1 species